GCCAUUCCGCGUGCAGGAUGAAGGCCCUCGGGUUGUAAACUGCUUUUGUACAGAACGAAAAGGUUUCUAUUAAUACUAAGAGCUCAUGACGGUACUGUAAGAAUAAGCACCGGCUAACUACGUGCCAGCAGCCGCGGUAAUACGUAGGGUGCAAGCGUUAAUCGGAAUUACUGGGCGUAAAGCGUGCGCAGGCGGUUAUAUAAGUCAGAUGUGAAAUCCCCGGGCUCAACCUGGGAACUGCAUUUGAGACUGUAUAGCUAGAGUACGGUAGAGGGGGAUGGAAUUCCGCGUGUAGCAGUGAAAUGCGUAGAUAUGCGGAGGAACACCGAUGGCGAAGGCAAUCCCCUGGACCUGUACUGACGCUCAUGCACGAAAGCGUGGGAAGCAAACAGGAUUAGAUACCCUGGNAGUCCACCCCCUANACCAAAUGAACCGGGUGNUNGGGNUUUAAACUGUCUNAGANCCNAAGCUACCCNNGAAGUUGNC
rnacentral:rRNA from 1 species